GGAAUGUGACUUAAGCGGUAGAGUGCUCGUCUGGCAUGCGUGCGGCCCGGGUUCCAUCCUCAGCACCA
rnacentral:tRNA from 1 species